rnacentral:rRNA from 1 species
AUUAAAACACUGGUACGAAUAAGAUCUGCCACGGUGGCCUAUGUAUUUAGGCAUCCUCCCAUCACCUAACCAUGUUAAUAUAACUUAAGCGUAACCUUGGUAGAUAUAUUCUCUGCCAGUGGAAGCAUUAAACUCUUUUAAAUUAAACAAGCUUAUAAUUAGUAUUAGUCUGUAUAAUUAAGUCAAUAUUAUUAAAACUUUCAACAACGGAUCUCUUGGUUCUGGCAUCGAUGAAGAACGCAGCGAAAUGCGAUAAGUAGUGUGAAUUGCAGAAUUCAGUGAAUCAUCGAAUUUUUGAACGCACAUUGCGCCCCUUGGUAUCCCGAGGGGCAUGCCUGUUCGAACGUCAUUUCAAACCCUCAAGCUUUGCUUGGUAUUGGGCUUCAUUCCCUCCUUUUUAUUAAGGUAGUAAUGCGCCUUAAAUGUAGGCAGCGGCAAGUAUUAGUUCCGAGCGUAGCAGUUAAAACAUUUCGCUCUAGGAAUCUCAGUAUAUUGUCAGCUAUAUACAAUAAAACUACUAUUUUGACCUCGGAUCAGGUAGGGAUACCCGCUGAACUUAAGCAUAUCAAUAAG